rnacentral:misc_RNA from 1 species
GUAGGUGAACCUGCGGAAGGAUCAUUACCGAGUUAGGGUUCGUCCAACGAGCCCGACCUCCCAACCCUUUGUCUAUCUUACCUUGUCGUUGCUUCGGCGAACCGGCCGUGACCAACUGGUCGUGGCCGCCGGGGGUCCACCCCCUGGAGAGCGUCCGCCGAUGGCCCGACCACAAACUCUUGUACCAAACCAUGUCCUCUGAAUUACUUGAUUAAAAUCAAAAAACAAAACUUUCAACAACGGAUCUCUUGGUUCUG